rnacentral:rRNA from 1 species
UUUAGCCUACGGGACGCAGCAGUGAGGAAUAUUGGUCAAUGGCCGGAAGGCUGAACCAGCCAAGCCGCGUGAAGGACGAAGGUGCCAAGCAUUGUAAACUUCUUUUGUCAAGGGACAAAAUCAGGCUCGAGAGCCUGACCGAGGGUACUUGAAGAAAAAGCAUCGGCUAACUCCGUGCCAGCAGCCGCGGUAAUACGGAGGAUGCAAGCGUUAUCCGGAUUUACUGGGUGUAAAGGGCGUGUAGGCGGGACUGCAAGUCAGAUGUGAAAACCACGGGCUCAACCUGUGGCCUGCAUUUGAAACUC